GAGUUUGAUCAUGGCUCAGAUUGAACGCUGGCGGCAUGCCUUACACAUGCAAGUCGAACGGCAGCACGGGAGCAAUCCUGGUGGCGAGUGGCGAACGGGUGAGUAAUACAUCGGAACGUGCCCAGUAGUGGGGGAUAGCCCGGCGAAAGCCGGAUUAAUACCGCAUACGACCUACGGGUGAAAGCGGGGGAUCGCAAGACCUCGCGCUAUUGGAGCGGCCGAUGGCAGAUUAGGUUGUUGGUGAGGUAAAAGCUCACCAAGCCGACGAUCUGUAGCUGGUUUGAGAGGACGACCAGCCACACUGGGACUGAGACACGGCCCAGACUCCUACGGGAGGCAGCAGUGGGGAAUUUUGGACAAUGGGCGCAAGCCUGAUCCAGCCAUGCCGCGUGCGGGAAGAAGGCCU
rnacentral:rRNA from 1 species